AGUAGAGGCGAUGAAAGACGUGCCAGGCUGCGAUAAGUCUCGGGGAGCCGUCAAGGGGCUUUGAUCCGGGAAUUUCUGAAUGGGGCAACCCAGUAUAUAGUGAUAUAUACUACCGCAAUGCGGAGCUAACGUUGGGAAUUGAAACAUCUUAGUACCAACAGGAAAAGAAAUCAAAAGAGAUUACGCUAGUAGCGGCGAGCGAACGCGUAAGAGGGCAAACCGUUAGUUUACUAACGGGGUUGUAGGACUGCAACAUAGACUUAAACAAACUAAUAGAAUAACCUGGAAAGGUUGGCCAUAGAGGGUGAUAGCCCCGUAUAUGAAAGUGCGUUUAUACUUAGCAGUAUCCUGAGUAGGGCGGGACACGUGAAAUCCUGUCUGAAGCUGGGGAGACCACUCUCCAACCCUAAAUACUACUACUAGACCGAUAGUGCACAAGUACCGUGAGGGAAAGGUGAAAAGAACUGAGGUGAUCAGAGUGAAAUAGAACCUGAAACCAUUUGCUUACAAUCAUUCAGAGCACGAUUCUUUAUGACGUGUGAUGGACUGCCUUUUGCAUAAUGAGCCUGCGAGUUGUGGUGUCUGGCGAGGUUAAGGAAACCCGGAGCCGUAGCGAAAGCGAGUCUUAAUAGGGCGUAUAGUCAGAUGCUGCAGACCCGAAACGAUGUGAUCUAUCCAUGAGCAGGUUGAAACUGGUGUAAGAGCCAGCGGAGGACCGAACAGACGGCCGUUGAAAAGGCUCCUGAUGACUUGUGGAUAGGGGUGAAAGGCCAAUCAAACAUCGUGAUAGCUGGUUCUCUCCGAAAUAUAUUU
rnacentral:rRNA from 1 species